rnacentral:tRNA from 1 species
AUAAUUUUAAGUUAAUUAAACUUUAAACCUUCAAAGUUUAAAAUAUAAAAUUUUUAUAAAUUAUU